rnacentral:rRNA from 1 species
UAUCUCUGUAGAGUCUGCAUAUCAAUAAGCGGAGGAAAAGAAACUAACAAGGAUUCCCUUAGUAACGGCGAGUGAAGCGGGAAGAGCUCAAAUUUGAAAUCUUCAAGGUUCUACCUUGACGAAUUGUAGUUUAUAGAAGUGUUUUCUGUUAGUAGAGUGGCAAAAGUUCUUUGGAAUAGGACAUCAUAGAGGGUGAGAAUCCCGUAUUUGGUCAUUCUUCCUAGCUUUGUGAUACACUUUCAACGAGUCGGAUUGUUUGGGAAUGCAGUCCAAAAUGGGUGGUAAAUUUCAUCUAAAGCUAAAUAUUGGCGAGAGACCGAUAGCGAACAAGUACCGUGAGGGAAAGAUGAAAAGAACUUUGAAAAGAGAGUUAAACAGUACGUGAAAUUGUCAAAAGGGAAGCGUUUGACACCAGUGUUGUUUUUCCGAAAAUCAAUUACGAAUGUUUUGUUUUUGAGGAGUUAUGACUUCAUCGGCUUGCUUCUUUCUUUACGAAACUUUCUUAAUGCACUUUUCGGUUAACAAGUCAACAUCAAUUUCUUUUGUUGUAAAAGGGUAUGAGGAAGGUGGCUUUCUUUUCGGAGAAAGUGUUUAUAGCCUUGUACCUCUGCAAUCGGAGAGAUUGAGGUCUGCAGCGUAGAUCCUUCGGGGUUAGAUACAUUUGUGCUAAGUUAUAGCUUUUCAUAGACAACUUGUUGACUAUGUUAAGUCUUGUAGCUUACUCGCUUAUGCUAUUUUACCUACGCUUAGGAUGUUGAUGUGAUACUGCGAGCA